AUGGCUGUCGUCAGCUCGUGUCGUGAGAUGUUGGGUUAAGUCCCGCAACGAGCGCAACCCUCAUUUUUAGUUGCCAUCAGGUUAAGCUGGGCACUCUAAAAAAACUGCCGGUGAUAAGCUGGAGGAAGGCGGGGAUGACGUCAAGUCCUCAUGGCCCUUACGGUCUGGGCUACACACGUGCUACAAUGGUGGUGACAGUGGGCAGCGAUACUGCAAAGUAAAGCUAAUCCCAAAAAACCAUCUCAGUUCGGAUUGGACUCUGCAACUCGAGUCCAUGAAGUUGGAAUCGCUAGUAAUCGUAGAUCAGCGUGCUACGGUGAAUACGUUCUCGGGCCUUGUACACACCGCCCGUCACGCCAUGGGAGUUGGUUUUACCUUAAGCCGGUGCGCUAACCGCAAGGAAGCAGCCGUCCACGGUAGGGUCAGCGACUGGGGCGAAGUCGUAACAAGGUAACCGUAGGGGAACCUGCGGUUGGAUCACCUCCUUUCUAAGGAUAUUGAUGUUUGUUUAGACAAACAUCCGGAUUGUUGUCUAUUUAUCUCUUUAUAAUAUUAGCUAAGUGCUAGGUGUUUCCUUAAUCAAACUGGGCCGGUAGCUCAGUUGGUUAGAGCGCGCGCUUGAUAAGCGUGAGGUCGGAAGUUCAAGUCUUCCUCGGCCCACCAUUUAUUCAAGGGGGAUUAGCUCAGCUGGGAGAGCGCCUGAUUUGCAAGCAGGGGGUCAUCGGUUCGAUCCCGUUAUCCUCCACCAAUUCUUUGUAUAGAAGGAAGCCUCAAAGGUUGUUAUUGCAGUCUUUGAGGCUGGCUUUUAAGCUAGUAUGUUCUUUAAAAAUUUAGAAGAAGUAAACUGAAAUCAUAAGAUUGUGAUGAGAUUAUGAUUUCAAAAUGGGUAAUGAUUGCAAAAUCAAAACUAAAUCAACAAAUAAGCUAAGAAGUUUUAGUAUUUAUAGUUGUUUUAAGCAAUGCUUUAGAAAGAAACUAUAACGAUCGUCUCAUGCGAGAUAACCCGAGUUUAAAAGGGCUUAGGUUUUAAAGUUAUAGGAUCAAGUGAAUAAGUGCAUAUGGUGAAUGCCUUGGCGAUUACAGGCGAUGAAGGACGUGGUAGUCUGCGAAAUUUUUCGGGGAGCUGACAAACGAGCUUUGAUCCGGAAGUGUCCGAAUGGGGAAACCCGG
rnacentral:sRNA from 1 species